AGCGAACGCUGGCGGCAGGCCUAACACAUGCAAGUCGAGCGCCCAGUAAUGGGAGCGGCAGACGGGAGAGUAACACGUGGGAACAUGCCCUUCAGUACGGAACAACCAAGGGAAACUUUGGCUAAUACCGUAUACGCCCGUAAGGGGAAAGAUUUAUCGCUGAAGGAUUGGCCCGCGUCUGAUUAGCUAGUUGGUGGGGUAAUGGCCCGCCAAGGCGACGAUCAGUAGCUGGUCUGAGAGGAUGAUCAGCCUCACUGGGACUGAGACACGGCCCAGACUCCUACGGGAGGCAGCAGUGGGGAAUAUUGGACAAUGGGCGCAAGCCUGAUCCAGCCAUGCCGCGUGAGUGAUGAAGGCCUUAGGGCUGUAAAGCUCUUUCGUCAGGGAAGAUAAUGACGGUACCUGAAGAAGAAGCCCCGGCUAACUUCGUGCCAGCAGCCGCGGUAACAC
rnacentral:rRNA from 1 species